AAAUAAAUAAAUAAAUAAAUAUAUGAAUGCGACACGUGGCGGUGGAUUGUAUUUGCGUGGUCGCAUAUCCGUUACCAAGGCAACCCGCUGGGCCGCAUCUGCACGUGGUUUAACUAAUUAGUGCCACGCUCCGCGCUAAUGAGUUCACCUGUGGCGACUCGUGCUUAGUCAUCUCUAACUUACCUGUCUGCUGCUCAGUAGGCCAAACUAAGCAGGUCGGUCUCCCCACUAACCGUCUAACGUCUCCCAGGUACGGUGAUGUAUACUUUAGGAGUUUAACCAGAACUUGGUUGGAGUUUCCCGGUUUUGUGUGACAAAUGACAGUUCUUGUAACGAACGCUUUUCGAAGUAAAACGGACCACCACAUCUGGACCUGCUGUCAAAGAGGAGAAAGUGAUCCUGUGAGUAUCAAAACUGAACCAUGAAGAAGAAACUGCGAACUGUAAGUCCUUAUAUUUCCCCUUUAUGCUGGGGCAUUGUUUUGGCCUCCUCGUUGGCUGAGGUGGAAAGGUGAAUGAUUUAAAUAAUGUUUUUUGUUGGUACGUGGGCUAAUUACCUGUUUAGUUUGAACAUGUGUCAAUGCUGUGUUAGAAGGGGUGUAGUAUAGGUUCCAAGUGAAUUGUGAGAAUAGUAACAUAGGGUUUCUCAGAGUGCAGCCAAAACAUACUCCAAGGUUUUGUCUAGAUUUUCUUUCGACAUGCUUCGCCACUACUUCCUGAACUUUGCAUCACGUCACAUGAGUUACCGUACUGAUGAGGGUUCAGAUUGAGUGAUCAGAGAUGCAUGCUAGGGUUCUGCGCUGUCUGAAGCCUCCAGCUCUGUAGACUUGCCCCUUCAGGUGAAGGCAUGUGUCUAAGAGGUGGUUGUGAAGUCAUUUACAUGAACUGGGAUGUCAUUCAAGAUGGUGACAGGCUCUCACCUAAAGGAGAAACGCCCGGGGAUGAGAGGUGAGGGCUCUUCCUCAACGACUAGAACACCACCUCAGUCCUUCGCUAGAGAACCAUGGAGCACAUUUCAACGUUGCCCACCAUACAUCUUGAAGCCGUAGCUACGGUUUCUCUACCUCCGCAGCUGGAGUAGAGCACAGCUGCAGUCACGAAAAGGGUUCUUGGUGGGAUCUUACCGCGAUAGGUUCUGAUUUAAGAGGACCGAACUUCCAGGACCAGCUGGACUCCUCCAUUACUCUGCAGUUCAGCCUGAGAAAGGCUUGCAUCUGAGCCAGCAGAGGGCUCAUCGGCCUGCUGUUCAUAUGGGAUGAGGAGAAUCCUACUGUAAAGACCUACCAACCAAUCCCUGCUCUGUUCAAGGUCUGGUCCGUUCAUGACCUACCUACCAACUACUGGGACGUCCGAUACCUACCAACUACUGGGACGUCUGAAACCUACCAACUACUGGGACGUCUGAAACCUACCAACUACUGGGACGUCUGAAACCUACCAACUACUGGGACGUCUGAAACCUACCAACUACUGGGACGUCUGAAACCUACCAACUACUGGGAUGUCUGAAACCUACCAACUACUGGGAUGUCUGAAACCUACCAACUACUGGGAUGUCUGAAACCUACCAACUACUGGGAUGUCUGAAACCUACCAACUACUGGGAUGUCUGAAACCUACCAACUACUGGGAUGUCCGAUACCUACCAGCUACUGGGAUGUCCGAUACCUACCAUCCCACCUAAUCAGGGUGACCUAAUCAGAUUACCUUCUCACCACUUCCAUCAAAUCCCGUCCUUGUUCUCAGGCUCAUCAAAGCGGAAGAGUUUGAGUCUGAAGGAAAACAAAUGGACUGCCUGUGGCUCUUCAGGUGGGCAUGGCGAGGGUUCUACCUUGCCUGGUUGUUCAUGCGGUCAGGGUUUUACCUGGCCUGGUUGUUCAUGCGGUCAGGGUUCUACCUGGCCUGGUUGUUCAUGCGGUCAGGGUUCUACCUGGCCUGGUUGUUCAUGCGGUCAGGGUUUUACCUGGCCUGGUUGUUCAUGCGGUCAGGGUUCUACCUGGCCUGGUUGUUCAUGCGGUCAGGGUUCUGCCUGGCCUGGUUGUUCAUGCGGUCAGGGUUCUGCCUGGCCUGGUUGUUCAUGCGGUCAGGGUUCUGCCUGGCCUGGUUGUUCAUGCGGUCAGGGUUCUGCCUGGCCUGGUUCUUCAUGCGGUCAGGGUUCUGCCUGGCCUGGUUCUUCAUGUGGUCAGGGUUCUGCCUGGCCUGGUUGUUCAUGCAGUCUGGGUUCUACCUGGCCUGGUUCAUGUGGUCAGGGUUCUACCUGGCCUGGUUCAUGUGGUCAGGGUUCUGCCUGGCCUGGUUCAUGUGGUCAGGGUUCUGCCUGGUUCGGUUGUUCAUGUGGUCGGGGUUCUACCUGGCCUGGGGUUCUUCAUCCGGGCGUGAUCAGGGUGACGAGGCAUACCAUGUGUGAGCGUGAUGACAUGGGGAUACGCACUUAUUAUACAUCACAACAUUUUAGGAAAUGGUCCUUCAAGCUUGAAAGCCUGCGACGUGGCUGCCCUUUCUAGCCCCGACAUGAUAGUUGGCUGGCAGGCCCUGUGGAUUGUAUCUUCUGGACUCCUGUGCUGGGAUGCAAUUUUUUCUUGGGCUGAAUUGCAAUGCAUUUGUUGAUGCUAGCUGGACCUGGGAGUUGGGUCCCCCUUUGAAUCAGAAACCAUCUCGGUAACAUCCCAACUAGGGUUCUCUUCAUGCUGUAACCAAGCUCUUCUUCAGCUGAGGAGGAAAAUAAAUCCUUGCUGGGGCUUCAAGAUCUAUGAAGAGGAAUAUUGAAAUGUGUGCAAUGGUUCCCUCCCGUAGGCGCUGUGGUGUAUUCUAGUCGCUGAGAAAGAGCCCUCACAUCCUACCCAUGGCGUCUCUCCUUGGGGAGUCCCUGUCACAGUCUUGACGGAUGUUCCAGGUCAUGUAACUGAUGCAACAGCCCUUUUGAACACUGUUUCUCCGGAGGGGGGCACGUCUACAGAACGGUAGACUUCAGACAGCACAGUAUCCUAACAUGCAUCUCUGGCCACUCAGACCACACCCGGAUCAAUAUGACAAUGCUCAUGCGAUGUGAAGCGAGGAAGUAGCCAAAAGACAGAUUGGUUAGCUUUUUUUUGUACGCUGGCAAGCAUUGUUAAUUGGUAGAUAAUUAGUUAAAUGGGGUAACUGAAAUGUUUAGUCAAAAUGUUUUGUACAUAAACCAACAGCAACAAACUACCAGAUCGCCUCAAGGUAAGUCUGUUGGCUGUAUUUUGCAAUGAGACGACCACAAGAUCUUCAUCGUCGUUCAGCUCAAGGUGAGGUGCUGGUUACGUUACUUAGGGAUGGUUCGUACUGGAACGUUACGAUUCCAGUAUGACGGGGCUUGGGGUUUCUGUAGAGGUUGGUAGUUAGUUUAGUGCAGUCUGUGAAGCUCUAAUGCUGCAGUACUGUGUGGUGGAGGAUAACUGGCAGUACGAACAGGAUUGGCAAUUGCGUUACGUCAUCCACACCUUAUUAUGGCGUCUGGCAGUACGAUCAAUAUUGGCAUUUGCGUAAACCUCAUAACUAAUGAGCGUACCCAAUUAAGGUAAUCUGGCAAUGCCCCAUUUCUAUAGGUAACCAUCUGCGAUUAUUGGUAAAUCCUUAUGCACUAGAAAUUAGGAAGGGCACUCUUAAAAUAUAUAUAUUUUUAAUUAUCCCACAAAAUACCGCAAACUACUUUGAUAACUGUGCUCUACAAUCAACUCUCGAUUUUCUGCGCAUACAUUUAUCGGGUCGCGUAAAAGAUUGAGACGACGGCAUUUACCUACUACGGCUUUUUAUUUCUUCAACAACCCAGCAGCUGAAUGUGGCUAAGUAUCAUUUUACUAUCUAAAUUACUAUUGAUAUUGCUAGUGUUCUAAAUAUCUGGGCUGUGAUCUGCUCAAUAUAGUUUCUGCUAGACUUCAGAAACAAAAGGAAGGGUUAAAUGUAAGUGUGCUUAUUCACGUAUUAUCAAAUGGUAUAGCUGUUUAGAAAAGUAAAGUUAAUUGUUGCGCAAAUGCUACCAUAAACCUUUGACUUUUGAAUAAAUCAAACUAAGCACAAGGCAACUAAGAUACGUGGUGACCAAGAACUCUUGUAUUGAUGUUCAGUUUAUUAUUGGUGAGGCAGUGAUGUAAAGCGCGUCGUGGUGUUUUUAAAUGGAUGAAUGUUGUGCUAACAGACGGGGGAAACUCCAGGCAUUGCAGUCCUGAUCCUGUAUGAUGCAGAAGAUGUCCAUCCAACCGCACAUUGAUCUCUGCAGCGUGGUCGGUGGGAGGAGAUGUGGCCGAGCUGUUGAACCAGGCUCUAUCGGUGUCAGGACGCGUUGGUGGAGGAGGGGGACUGAUGGAGGAGAGCCGACGGAGCCAUGGUGGACGAGAGCCGACGGAGCCAUGGUGGACGAGAGCCAAGGGAGCCAUGGUGGACGAGAGCCGACGGAGCCAUGGUGGACGAGAGCCGACGGAGCCAUGGUGGACGAGAGCCGACGGAGCCAUGGUGGACGAGAGCUGACGGAGCCAUGGUGGCCGUGGUGGGCGAGAGCCGGAGGAGCCGUGGUGGGCGAGAGCCGACGGAGCCGUGGUGGGCGAGAGCCGACGGAGGAGCCGUGGUGGGCGAGAGCCGACGGAGGAGCCGUGGUGGGCGAGAGCCGACGGAGGAGCCGUGGUGGACGAGAGCCGACGGAGGAGCCGUGGUGGACGAGAGCCGACGGAGGAGCCGUGGUGGACGAGAGCCGACGGAGGAGCCGUGGUGGACGAGAGCCGACGGAGGAGCCGUGGUGGACGAGAGCCGACGGAGGAGCCGUGGUGGAGGCCCUGCCUUAAGAAUGAUGUCGGGACCCAAUGCCCUUGGCUGAUGGAGGAACUGCAUCUGGAGGGCGACCAUGAAUCUACCUGCCAACAGGUGGUACUGGUUUGCACUGGUUUGCAUGAACUGAACAUGGUGGACAUGAGGCAAAUUCCCUGCGUUUUGCUCCAGACCAGGACUGGGUGAUGGAGGGGGGCUGAUAGAGCCGUGCUGAGGACCUGCUGGUGAAGGACGUCCCUCGGUGGGGGGGCUAGGACAGCCGACCCUGAGGAUCCGCUCGGAUCUACGAUCGCUACGAUGCGACUGCAGAGGUCUCUGGAAGACCAGGAGUCCUUGCCUGAGGAGAGCUGACGGAGGAGCCGUGCACCUGGAGAACCAUGAGUCUGCCUGCCAACAAGUAGUACUGGAAGGCGGGGCAUAGGGAGGUGUUGGAGGACCUGCCUGGUGAAGGACGUCAGGGUGGGGCGAGUGACACCCGACUCCAAGGGGAUAUCCACUGAGGAGAGAGCUGAAGGAGCCAUGCAUCUGGAAGUUGAAAUGCUGUGUCCAGUCUGGGACAGACGGACCUGAGCUGCAUCAAACCUGUAUCUCUGACCAGUUGGAGGCCUUUAGUGAUCAACAACCGCCACUCAUCGCUGGCCUGUGGAUUCAUCUCCUUCACACUCACACAUCAGGACUUUGGCCUGUGGAUUCAUCUCCUCCACACUCACACAACAGGACUUUGACCUGUGGAUUCAUCUCCUCCACACUCACACAACAGGACUUUGGCCUGUGGAUUCAUCUCCUCCACACUCACACAACGUGACCUUCUCACCAUCUGUUGCACGUUUGGAUGCACCUAGCGUGUUCCAUCGAGGGUUCCUUCCUCCCCACGGUGGGAGGGUUCCUUGUCCUUCAAGGCGUCGGGGUUCAGUGUUAGGGACAGAGUUAGGGACAGAUGGCUGCGCUGGAUUCACAAUAUACGCUUUGUGAUCAAAAUGGGUUCGGACAUCGGACAAAUCGCUUCCCAAAAUGUUUCAAUGUGCAAACGAUUUUAUAAAAUGUGUACUCGUGGUGUUUAUAUAAAAUCAUAUAUAACAAAUUCUACCUGGUUGUGUGGCUUUUUCUGCAUGUUGUGCAUUAUGUGAUGUUUAAUACUGACCAUAAUGAGUUAACCUAUACACAUCUACCCUCGACCUCUACCCUCACCUUGAACCCCCCUCUACCCUC
ensembl:lncRNA